rnacentral:rRNA from 1 species
GAUGAACGCUGGCGGCGUGCUUAAUACAUGCAAGUCGAGCGAACAGACGCUGAGCUUGCUCCUCUGACGAUAGCGGAGGACGUGUGUGUAACACGUGGAUAACCUACUUAUAAGACUGGGAUAACCUCGGGAAACCGGAGCUAAUACCGGAGAAUAUAUUGCACCACAUGGUUCAUUAGUGAAAGACGGCGUUGCUGGCACUUAUAGAGGGAUCCGGGCGGUAUUGGCUGGUUGGUAAGGUAACGGCUUUUCAAGGCUAGGAGGCGUAGGCGACGUGAGGGGGUGGUAGGCGACACUGGAGCGGAGACAGGGUCCAGAGUCCUACGGGAGGCAGCAGUAUGGAAUGUGCGGCAAUAGUCGAAAGCAUGGCGGAGCAACGGGACGUGAGUGAUGAAGGUCUUCGGAGCGUAAAACUCUGUUAUUGGUGAAGAACAGAUGUGUAAGGAGCUAUGGACGUCGUGACGGUACCUAGUCAGGAAGCCACGGCUAACUACGUG